CUGGACAUACCAACCCUGGAAAACGACAACCGCGGACAGUUCCCCAGACCUGAGACAGAGCUUUCCUCAGCUGGAAAGCCAGAGGAAUACUACCUGCCGCUCCGCCUUCACCUGCGGCCCCAUCUCCGUUCUAAGGCAAACUCUGACGGGCACUAAAUUGGUCCUGUUCUCAGGCUAGGAUAGGACAGAUGACCCAGUUGCAGGCCCCAGCCUGUCCCUGGCCAGGCCUUUGUUACCACCCAGGCAACAUCUUUUGAGACGAAUCUUCCCUGACACUGCCGUGAGGGCCCAUUCUGCAGUGCUCCUGGAACCCCACCUUUACCUGAAAUUGAAAAAGAAUCCUGUCCACAUCUUGCAGUAAUGCUGCCUGCUCCAUGUACACCCCACCCCACACGUGAGGGUCCUGUCUGCUUUUGGGGGUCUGGCAGAAACCUUCAUGGGCUUCUGGGAGAGGAACGGAACCUCCACUGUGGCUGGAGGCGCUGGAAAGCCUCCCUUAAGAGAGACUGCAGUGUGUUAUGUGCUCACGUGCCCUCCUGAGUCAUAAGGUUGUCCGAGCAAGUGGUGCUGCUUGUUCCCACUUUGCUCAGAUGCACACCCUCUUUUCCUUCAAUUCCUGAAGCUGAAAGAUGGAAACCCAGCUCUCCCUCCAUGUCCAGUAUCCCACCUCCACACAAGAGACCACAUUGAAAUAUUUAAACGUGACAUUUCCAAGGUUUUGCACAGAGCCCAAGGGGAAGGAUCUUAGCGUGUCUAGAAGUAGUGUGGUACUUGCUCUCACUGACUUUUAAGAAUGAAGCCAUGGCCCCUCACGAUCCCCGGCUCCAUGCUGUCGCUUCCUGGGAGAGGCUCAGGCCAGGACACAGAACCCACACCCCACGGCCCGGACCGCGCAGAGCGUCCCCUCCACAUAGGAGCGCCCCUUCUAGGAGGGCUGCCGCCCUCCUGCCCAAGCCCUCCAAGACAGGAAGGAAGCAGAACCUACAGAGGAUCAGACAACAGGCUCAGGACAGGAAGUGCCGGGUCGGAUGCUUCCUCCAGCCCGUGUAUCCUGAGACCAGUGCCAUGUGGGGCCGCCAGAGUCCUGCCUGGUGCCCAGCACUCCUCUUCCUGGAAACGCAUCCCUGUUUAGCGUAGCAAAAAUGGGGAGCUAGUAAACCUCGUGUCAUGGGCUAUGAAUGGAGACAUAAAACACUGAAAAUUCUACUACUGCGAAAGUGAAACAGUCUUGCUCCAAAUAUGGCCUUGACUAAAUUAAUUAUUAAAAUAUAAAGGGAAACAACUUCCUUUCACAUACUUGGUUGAGAAAGCAACUAAAAAAUUUAUUUCUUCUCCCAUGAGAAACACUACCUUUUAAGAUAAAAUUUAUUUUCUGUAUAUUUGCAUUAAGAGAAAAUAUGAAAAUAUUUAAUUGACAUUUUUUAUUAAAAGACUAUCAGCAUUGAAAGACAAAUUUCACAGGAAAAGCAUUGAAUCAUUAAGUUUUGUAGUCACAAAGGUAAGUAUAAUUUGCUUAAUGCUGCCCUCAGUUUACAAUGGGUCUUUAGUAUUUUCUAAGCUAUAAUGUGAGUUUGCCAAAAUAUAGCAUUGGUUUGCUACAUAGAAUUUGCUCAGUGAUAAAACACAAAGGAGUUACUUAUGUUAAAAUGUAAAUAAUAAAUUUAUGCAAAAUUUCUGAAAGUAUA
ensembl:lncRNA LINC02346 long intergenic non-protein coding RNA 2346